AGAGUUUGAUCAUGGCUCAGGAUGAACGCUGGCGGCGUGCCUAAUACAUGCAAGUCGAACGGAGAGCUAGUAAUAGUUCUUAGUGGCGAACGGGUGAGCAACGCGUUGGUGACCUGCCCCGAAACGGGGGAUAACAGUUCGAAAGGACUGCUAAUACCCCAUAAUAUCUUGGUAGUUAGAGAGCUAAGAUGAAAGGAGAAAUCCGUUUUGGGAGGGGCCUGCGUCCCAUCAGCUAGUUGGUAAGGUAAAAGCUUACCAAGGCGACGACGGGUAGGGGACCUGAGAGGGUGAUCCCCCACACUGGCACUGAAACACGGGCCAGACACCUACGGGUGGCAGCAGUAGGGAAUAUUGCACAAUGGGCGAAAGCCUGAUGCAGCAACGCCGCAUGCGCGAUGACGGCCUUCGGGUUGUAAAGCGCUUUUCGGGGAGAUGAGGAAGGACAGUAUCCCCGGAAUAAGGCUCGGCUAACUACGUGCCAGCAGCCGCGGUAACACGUAGGAGCCAAGCGUUAUCCGAAUUCACUGGGCGUAAAGCGCGUGCAGGCGGCUCGAUAAGUUGGAUGUAAAAGCUCCUGGCUCAACUGGGAGAGGACGUUCAAUACUGUCGGGCUAGAGGGCGACAGAGGGAGGUGGAAUUCCCGGUGUAGUGGUGAAAUGCGUAGAUAUCGGGAGGAACACCAGUGGCGAAAGCGGCCUCCUGGGUCGCACCUGACGCUCAGACGCGAAAGCUAGGGGAGCGAAUGGGAUUAGAAACCCCAGUAGUCCUAGCUGUAAACGAUGUAGACUUGGCGUCGGUGGGGUAAAAGCCAUCGGUGCCGAAGCAAACGCGAUAAGUCUACCGCCUGGGGACUACGGCCGCAAGGUUAAAACUCAAAGGAAUUG
rnacentral:rRNA from 1 species